AACAGUAAUUUAAAGGGCUCUUCAGUGACGUUAGAAAUCAUUAAAUCCAAUUCUUUCCUUUUAAAUGUAAGGAAGCUGUUGAAGAAAAGUCCCAUGCUGUGUUUUAUGUUUUGAAGGGGGUCUGCUUCUUCAAAUACUGGCGAUCACACCAUGGUUUUAUAUUGUUUUGGAAAUAACUUUUAGUUGAAAAACUUCGAGGAGUUCAUUGUAAGUUCAAUUACAGCUGGAGGGAUAUAAUUUAUUGUAAUUUAUUAGUCAUUGAAUAUCCAUGUCGAGGCCAAAUGUGGAGAUGGCAUAACCAGAAGAGGGAACGAACUGGCCUGGAUGUGACUCAUGCUUGGAAGGGAGCUGUCUGGAAGGACCACAGUACCUGCAGCCAACUUUGUGAGAAAGAAGUGAAGUAUAGCCAUUGAGUAGGCUGCCAAUAGUGCCUGCCAGAGACACUCAGGAGAGAUUAUAUGCUAAAUCCACCAGACCCUUUGUCUAAGGGCAGGACGUCACCUCUUCAGAAACUGUUUUUCUUCUUGUGGUAAUUAUUAAUUCUCUGCAGUGAUUUAGAAGAAUUCUUGUACUAAAUG
rnacentral:lncRNA from 10 species